rnacentral:rRNA from 1 species
UACGGGGGAGCAAGCGUUGUUCGGAUUUACUGGGCGUAAGGCGCGUAGGCGGCCACCGCAAGUCGACUGUGAAAUCUCCGGCUUAACCCGGAAAGGUCAGCCGAUACUGCGGGCUAGAGUGCAGAAGGGCAACUGGAAUUCUCGGUGUAGCGGUGAAAUGCGCAGAUAUCAGGAGGAACACCGGUGGCGAAGGCGGGUCUCUGGGCCGAUACUGACGCUGAGGAGCGAAAGCGUGGGAGCGAACAGG